rnacentral:rRNA from 1 species
GCGUGGAGACAGGUGGUGCAUGGCUGUCGUCAGCUCGUGUCGAGAGAUGUUGGGUUAAGUCCCGCAACGAGCGCAACCCUCACCCCUAGUUGCCACCGGGUAAAGCCGAGCACUCGAGGGGAACUGCCAGCGUCAAGCUGGAGGAAGGCGGGGAUGACGUCAAGUCAUCAUGCCCCUUACGUCCUGGGCUACACACGUGCUACAAUGGCCAGUACAAAGGGAUGCGAGACCGCGAGGUGGAGCUAAUCCCAAAAAGCUGGUCUAAGUUCAGAUUGCAGUCUGCAACUCGACUGCAUGAAGGAGGAAUCGCUAGUAAUCGCGCAUCAGCCCGGCGCGGUGAAUACGUUCCCGGGCCUUGUACACACCGCCCGUCACACCACGAAAGCUUACUGUACUCGAAGUCGCUGAG